CAGACUGAGCCACCCAGGUGCCCCUACCUCAGUGAAUUUUUACAUAUGUUUAUACACAUGUAACCACCAUCUAGAUCAAGAUGUAGGACUCCCAGCACUCAGACAACUCUCUCGUGUCCUCUCCGAGACAGUAUGUACCUACCAUCACCACACACACUCAGAGUAACUACAGUUCUGAUUUCUAUCACCAUAGAUUAGUUCUGUCUGUGCUUGAACUUUAUAGAAAUUGAAUAAUAAAGCAUGCUUUCCUUGUGUCUGGUUUUUCUCACUGAACGUUAUGUUGUUGAAUGUUGACUCCUGAAAUAUCAGCAGAACGAUCUGUUCAUGAGACAACGCUGAAUGUAUUGCUUACGGCCAUCAGGGAGAAUACCACCUUGAAAGAACUUUCAUUGGAGGGAGAAGGAAAAGACUGAAUUUGAGAUUUUGAUUCUGGUUCAGUGAGAGAAGUGGAAGUUACUUUUCCUAGUGCCAGGGUAGAAAAUGGCUACGUGGACUUCCCCAGGGGAGUUUUCCCUUAGGAGGAUACAUAUCAAUUUACACUGUAGAAGACAGGUUUUGCUGGAGCCUCUGAGCAUCACACUGCAGACUACUGAACACAAGCAUUGUUUGGUUUCCUCUUUCACUGCACGGUGUCCAACCUGUUUUUUGAAAAGGAAGAGGGAGAAUGGAGGACUCAAUUUUUGAAUUUCAAAUGAGAUUACAUCGGGGUCAUUACAUUUUUCUCUAAGAGUUCCACGAACUAUAGAGCUGCCCUACCACAUCAGAUAGGACUACCCUGGAGCCUCAAAGCUGACCAGAGUCAGGUUUGGUCCAUAUUGUCAAGGCAAAUAUUUUCUGGAAGCCAGGACUAACCCUAUGACUGGGUUCAGUAGGGGCCACCAUGGAGGUAAGAUUAAAGGCAAGUCAAUCUUAACCAUGCUAUACCCCUUUUCUCAUUCCCUUGACACUUGCCCCCCUGUAAAAAAAAAUGAAAAGAAAAAGCCCUAGAGAAAACAUUUUUAAUCUGAUUGUGCUACCUGAAUGAGAUAGCUCUUUAAUCCUCAGUAGACUAGCAACAAUCAGUUUAUUCCCUUAGCCAACAGCCCGCUAAAGAUUGGGGGUUGGGGAUUCACAGAUCCGGAAGGCUCAGCAUCUUGGGGAACACCGAAUCAGUUCUUUCUCUCAGCUUCUUCCCCACUGCAUACAAACUUCCAUUGCCCACAGAAUGAUGUCCAGUUUCAAGAAUCUUUGUCUGCUGGACCAGGACGAGCUGAGUCCCCCAAGCAGGGUCUGGUUCUCACUCACCUGCAGGUAUGCCCAGCACUGAGCACAG